UAUAGAAAAAGGCAAACCUGCUGAAAGGCAGGGACGCAAAGUCACAGGUCUAAGGUAUGUUGGAUAAAAUACUAGGAUGGCUGGGUUGCCUUA
rnacentral:ncRNA from 1 species